CUAAGUGGCGGACGGGUGAGUAAUGUAUAGUUAAUCUGCCCUUUAGAGGGGAUAACAGUUGGAAACGACUGCUAAUACCCCAUACUCCUUUUACAUUAAUUGUAAUUGGGAAACGUUUUUUCGCUAAAGGAUGGGACUAUAUGGUAUCAGGUAGUUGGUGGGGUAAGAGCCCACCAAGCCAAUGACGCCUAGCUGGUCUGAGAGGAUGAUCAGCCACACAGGAACUGAGACACGGUCCAG
rnacentral:rRNA from 1 species